GACGAACGCUGGCGGCGUGCUUAACACAUGCAAGUCGAACGAUGAAGAAAAGAAUCGAAGCUUCGGCAGAAAUUCAUUUAGGAGUAGUGGCAGACGGGUGAGUAACGCGUGAGCAACCUACCUCUUACAAAGGGAUAGCCUCGGGAAACCGGGAUUAAUACCAUAUAACAUUGCGACGAAGCAUUUCGAUGCAAUCAAAGCUACGGCGGUAAGCGAUGGGAUCGCGUCCCAUUGACCGGAUGGCGAGGUAACGGGACACCAUAGUGACGAUGGGUAACCGGGAUGAGAGGGUCGAUGGUCACACUGGCACUGGGCCACGGUCCAGACUCCUACGGGAGGCAGGAGUGGGGAAUAUUGCACAAUGGGGGGAACUCUGAUGCAGCGACGACGGGUGAGUGAUGAAGGUAUUCAUGACGUAAAACGCUGUUCUAUGGGAAGAAAAGGACUGUACCAUAGGAGAAAGCCCCGGCUAACUACGUG
rnacentral:rRNA from 1 species